rnacentral:rRNA from 1 species
CAGUCGCCGCGGGAAUACGUAGGUCCCGAGCGUUGUCCGGAUUUAUUGGGCGUAAAGCGAGCGCAGGCGGUUAGAUAAGUCUGAAGUUAUAGGCUGUGGCUUAACCAUAGUACGCUUUGGAAACUGUUUAACUUGAGUGCAAGAGGGGAGAGUGGAAUUCCAUGUGUAGCGGUGAAAUGCGUAGAUAUAUGGAGGAACACCGGUGGCGAAAGCGGCUCUCUGGCUUGUAACUGACGCUGAGGCUCGAAAGCGUGGGGAGCAAACAGGAUUAGAGACCCCCGUAGUCCCUGUCUCUUAUACA